UCAAGUUAUGUGUAGCUGCUGUAAACAUGGGCACAUACCAGUAUGCAGGCUUUAGGUGGGCGAGUCACUAGUACAUGCAUGCCCAUAAAGAAACUGCAUUACAUGA